AUGCCUGAGCCUGCCAAGUCCGCUCCCAACCCGAAGAAGGGCUCCAAGAAGGCCGUCACCAAGGCCCAGAAGAAGGAUGGCAAGAAGCGCAAGCGCAGCCGCAAGGAGAGCUACGUGUACGCGUACAAGGUGCUGAAGCAAGUGCACCCUGACACCGGCAACUCCUCCAAGGCCAUGGGCAUCAUGAACUCUUCGUGAACGACAUCUUCGAGCGCAUCGCGAGCGAGGCGUCGCGCCUGGCGCAUUACAACAAGCACUUGACCAUCACGUCCUGGGAGAUCCAGACGGCAGUGCGCCUGCUGCUGCCUGGGGAGCUGGCCAAGCACGCGGUGUUGGAGGGCACCAAGGCCAUCACCAAGUAUACCAGCUCCAAGUGA
rnacentral:lncRNA from 1 species